GAUGAACGCUGGCGGCGUGCCUAUACAUGCAAGUCGAGCGAACAGACGAGGAGCUUGCUCCUCUGACGUUAGCGGCGGACGGGUGAGUAACACGUGGAUAACCUACCUAUAAGACUGGGAUAACUUCGGGAAACCGGAGCUAAUACCGGAUAAUAUAUUGAACCGCAUGGUUCAAUAGUGAAAGACGGUUUUGCUGUCACUUAUAGAUGGAUCCGCGCCGCAUUAGCUAGCUGGUAAGGUAACGGCUUACCAAGGCAACGAUGCGUAGCCGACCUGAGAGGGUGAUCGGCCACACUGGAACUGAGACACGGUCCAGACUCCUACGGGAGGCAGCAGUAGGGAAUCUUCCGCAAUGGGCGAAAGCCUGACGGAGCAACGCCGCGUGAGUGAUGAAGGUCUUCGGAUCGUAAAACUCUGUUAUUAGGGAAGAACAAAUGUGUAAGUAACUAUGCACGUCUUGACGGUACCUAAUCAGAAAGCCACGGCUAACUACGUG
rnacentral:rRNA from 1 species